UACGUAGGUGGCAAGCGUUGUCCGGAAUUAUUGGGCGUAAAGGGCUCGCAGGCGGUCUUCUAAGUCUGAUGUGAAACCUUGCGGCUUAACCGCAAGCGGUCAUUGGAAACUGGAGGACUUGAGUACAGAAGAGGAGAGUGGAAUUCCACGUGUAGCGGUGAAAUGCGUAGAGAUGUGGAGGAACACCAGUGGCGAAGGCGACUCUCUGGUCUGUAACUGACGCUGAGGAGCGAAAGCGUGGGGAGCGAACAGG
rnacentral:rRNA from 1 species